ACGCUCGACACCUACGGGAGCAGCAGUAGGGAAUCUUCCACAAUGGGCGCAAGCCUGAUGGAGCAACACCGCGUGAGUGAAGAAGGGUUUCGGCUCGUAAAGCUCUGUUGUUGGAGAAGAACGUGCGUGAGAGUAACUGUUCACGCAGUGACGGUAUCCAACCAGAAAGUCACGGCUAACUACGUGCCAGCACGCCGACGGUAAUCUGAGGCCGGGUCGUGGACGAAGGC
rnacentral:rRNA from 1 species